GAUGAACGCUGGCGGCGUGCCUAAUACAUGCAAGUCGAGCGAACGGACCAGAAGCUUGCUUCUCUGAUUUUAGCGGCGGACGGGUGAGUAACACGUGGAUAACCUACCUAUAAGACUUGGAUAACUUCGGGAAACCGUAGCUAAUACCGGAUAAUAUUUUGAACCGCAUGGUUCAAAAGUGAAAGACGGUCUUUCUGUCACUUAUAGAUUGAUCCGCGCUGCAUUAGCUAGUUGGUAAGGUAACGGCUUACCAAGGCAACGAUGCAUAGCCGACCUGAGAGGGUGAUCGGCCACACUGGAACUGAGACACGGUCCAGACUCCUACGGGAGGAAGCAGUAGGGAAUCUUCCGCAAUGGGCGAAAGCCUGACGGAGCAACGCCGCGUGAGUGAUGAAGGUCUUCGGAUCGUAAAACUCUGUUAUUAGGGAAGAACAUAUGUGUAAGUAACUGUGCACAUCUUGACGGUACCUAAUCAGAAAGCCACGGCUAACUACGUG
rnacentral:rRNA from 1 species